UUUUUUUUUGUCUGCUAGAGAAGACGAACAGCUCUUCGUGAAGAUAAACAGCUCUUCAACAAGUAGUAAUUUAAUGGGGGAUUCACAACAAGGAAAUAACAAAGGAAAGGGCAAAGAGAAAGAGAACUAUGAAUCUUGGA